CAUGUUUGUCAAGUUAGCCGUCGUUUGUAUGGUGCUAUGUAGCGUCAUGACUGAGGUUCCUGCCCAGGAAACAUCGCCGCCCUGUCCGUGUCCUGCGAUUUACAGACCAGUCUGUGUUGCGGGUAGGACGUACGACAGCUCCUGUGUGGCCGAAUGCGACGGUCACUUGUCAGCUUCUUUCAGUGAGGGUGCAUGCGGUAAAUACAG